AGUGAACGCUGGCGGCAGGCCUAACACAUGCAAGUCGAACGGCAGCACAGGGGUAGCAAUACCCUGGGUGGCGAGUGGCGGACGGGUGAGGAAUACGUCGGAAUCUGCCUAUUUGUGGGGGAUAACGUAGGGAAACUUACGCUAAUACCGCAUACGCCCUACGGGGAAAGCGGAGGACCUCGGCUUCGCGCAGAUAGAUGAGCCGACGUCGGAGUUAGCUAGUUGGCGGGGUAAAGGCCCACCAAGGCGACGAUCCGUAGCUGGUCUGAGAGGAUGAUCA
rnacentral:rRNA from 1 species